GUUGCCCUUAAUUACUAAAUUUAUGACUUGUCAGGAAGCUUAAUUAUGUCCAAUAAUUACAAAGUGGGCAGUUUGUGUAUUUUGGCUUUGUGAUUAGUGUUUACACCAUAAUGAACCGAGCAGACCCAGCAUCAAAGCGACUAGCACCAAGGCAGCCACGCCUUCUCCCCUGCCGAAGGAAGACACACUUCCGAGGUGCCAGACACCUGCCGAAGCUCCCAGCUGCCAAACCUAAUCUCCAGGACACGUGUCGCCACCGCAACGACUUGCACAAAGUCCCACAUUGGAACUUUGUGCAAACCUCC
rnacentral:lncRNA from 1 species